GAUGAACGCUGGCGGCGUGCCUAAUACAUGCAAGUCGAGCGAACGGACGAGAAGCUUGCUGGUCUGAUGUUAGGGGCGGACGGGUGAGUCACAUGUGGAUAACGUACCUAUAAGACUGGGAUAACUUCGGGAAACCGGAGCUAAUACCGGAGAAUAUCCUGAACCACAUGGUUCAAAAGUGAAAGACGGUCUUGCUGUCACUUAUAGAUGGAUCCGCGCUGCAUUAGCUAGUUGGUAAGUUAACGGCUUACCAAGGCAACGAUGCAUAGCCGACCGGAGAGGGGGAUAGCCCACACUAGAACUGAGACACGGUCCAGGGUCCUGCGAGAGGCAGCAGUAGGGUAUCUUCCGCAGUGGGCGAAAGCCUGACGGAGCGACGCCGCGUGAGUUAUGAAAGUCUUCGGAUCGUAAAACUCUGUUAUUAGGGAAGAACAUAUUUGUAAUUAACUGUGCACAUCUUGACGGUACCUAGUCAAAAAGCCACGGCUAACUACGUG
rnacentral:rRNA from 1 species